rnacentral:tRNA from 1 species
GCGGACAUAGCUCAGCCGGAAGAGCGCGACCACGCCAUGGUCGAGGCCGCGGGUUCGAAUCCCGCUGUCCGCU